UGGAUCCCUUGUUUUCACACUGCUUGUUGGAUCUCCUCAUCCUGUUAACCUCCACCUUCAACACCACCAGUCAGACGGAGGAAGAUAAGAGAACCCAGUUAACACAAAAAGUAAAAAACAUUUUUUACCUGGCUAGCAAUUUUAAAUAUGGAUGAAAUUGAUGUCAAAUUUCAGAAUUGUUCUUUAUUGUCCACUUAUAUUCUGUUUGUUAACCCUGUUGUCUUUUCUCUUUAUUUCAUUUCUACAUCAACUCGUGUCAUUUGACAUGAGUUGACCAACAAUGAAAGCAGAAACCUGCUCCACCUGUAAACCUCCACCUUCAACACCACCAGUCAGAUGGAGGAAGAUAAGAGAACCCUGUUGACAAAAAAAUUGACCAACAAUUAAAGAAGAAGACCUGCUCCACCUGCUGAUCUACUGGCUGUAACAGAUUGUGGAAAAGCAUCACCAGCAGCACUGGACCAAUCAGGAGAGAGAAGACACAGAGGACUGAAGGGACACAGAAAAUCCUGCUGGAAAUCCUGAGAUGAAGUUUCCUGAUGUAACCGGGGGAACCUGAGGACACAGAAUAAAGAAGGACCAUGUGAAACUCAUGAAGAGGAUGGUCAGAGUCGUCCAUAGCUUUCUUGACUCUUAUGAAGAAUCCUUCUUUGCUUCAUCUCCAGAGGUUCCACAGUCAUCUCCAGAACAGAACCAGAACCAGAACCAAUCCAGCCUUCUUUAUCAGAUUGUUGAGCCUUUUGAGGUUCCUGGCUCUGAUGCUGCUGCACCAACAGAUGAUAGCAGAAGAGAUGACACUCUCAGCAGCAGACUUCAAGAUCUGCAGCAAGCGGCUGCAGAUCUACAGUCGUUAUGACUUUUCUUCGGUACCGGAACCAGGCAGGAUGUCUUCCACAACAACGGAACCUCCUCUUGGGA